AAUGAACGCUGGCGGCAGGCCUAAAACAUGCAAGUCGAACGCCCUAGCAAUAGGGAGUGGCGCACGGGUGAGUAACAUGUGGGAAUAUGCCUUUUGGUACGGAACAACGUUUGGAAACGAACGCUAAUACCGUAUGGUCCCUCCGGGGUAAAGAUUUAUCGCCAAAAGAUUAGCCCGCACUAGAUUAGCUAGUUGGUAAGGUAAUGGCUUACCAAGGCGACGAUCUAUAGCUGUUCUGAGAGGAAGAUCAGCCACACUGGGACUGAGACACGGCCCAGACUCCUACGGGAGGCAGCAGUUAGGAAUAUUGGACAAUGGGCGCAAGCCUGAUCCAGCCAUGCCGCGUGAGUGAUGAAGGCCUUAGGGUUGUAAAGCUCUUUUACCCGGGAUGAUAAUGACAGUACCGGGAGAAUAAGCUCCGGCUAACUCCGUGCCAGCAGCCGCGGUAACAC
rnacentral:rRNA from 1 species